UUCCUUGAGAGAUGUGUCUCUAAACGGUGCUUUAGCUGUUAGCUCUGAUGAUCGUUACUUAGCGACUAGAGGAGUUGAUCGCCAUGUUCAUAUAUGGGACGUUCAUACCAGAGAACAUGUCCAUGUUCAUAUAAAGUCCAAUUUUUGUUUUGUGGUUUCUUCCGUCAAGUCUCAGCUUUUUAUGAUUAUGUGUCUACAGGCCUUUACAGGUCACAGGAACACUAUUUCUUCCCUAUGAUUCAGACACGGAACCGCGGAGCUCUACUCUGGUUCAUUUGAUCGAAGUGUCAAGGAGUGCACUUACGGUUGGGAGAGAUACAAUCAUGCAGUUACACAAGGAGAAGGCUCCCUAUGUAGCUAAGGCUAAUGAGUCGCAAGGUUGAGUAUAAGAAGACGAGAAACUCCGAGUUGCCCGAGUCAUUCACAAGAAGAAGAGGAGGAGAAGAAGAAGAAGAAGAAAAAACUUCGUUGUUGCCUAAGAAUGACGGCUGUGGCUGCAGUCUAGUGUUUACGGUUUAGACUUUUGGUUAAGUUUUGGUUUAGGUUUUAGUUAUUUUUUAAUAAUGCUACAAUAUCAAAUAUUAUCUGCUAUUAUAAAUUAUACAAUUGCACAACUA